GAGCCGGGGCCGCAGGAGCCGCGCGCAUGGCGUUCAGCCCCUGGCAGAUCCUGUCGCCCGUGCAGUGGGCGAGAUGGACGUGGUCCGCGGUGCGCGGCGGGGGCGCCGGAGAGGAGGAGGCCGGAGGGCCGGAGGGCAACCCCGAGGACGAGGACUCGCAAGCCGAGACCAAAUCCUUGAGUUUCAGCUCGGAUUCUGAAGGUAAUUUUGAGACCCCUGAAACUGAAACGCCCAUCCGAUCCCCUCUCAAGGAAUCCUGUGAGUCGUACCUCGGACUGGCAGGCUCCGGGGCCAAGACCCAAGUUUCAGACUCACAAGAAGAGGACGAAGAGCUGGUGGCUGAAGUGGUUGGAAGCUGUUCAUCUGCGGCCGCUUCUCGACCCUCAGGGCAGGAGGCAGUGUCGCCCGCCGGCGGGCCUCGCCCAGUCAAGGAUUUCAGAGAAGAGCCCGAACAUGACGCCAGCAAGAUCUCCGUCGUGAGGCCGUUUUCCAUAGAAUCCAGAAACUGCGGGGACGUCCCCGGGGCGUCUGGCAUAGCCGUGCUCCUCGGCCCAGCCGCGGGCGUGCAAGACAGCGAAGCCAUGACCGCCGGCGCCACCCUGGAAGCUGACCCCAGGGCGGGCAGUCCACGUCCAGAGCCCGGGGCUGGCCGGAGCCGCCUGCGGAAGCCGCGGCCCGUGCCCCUGCGGAAGAAGGCGCUGGGUGGCGAGCUCUCGGAAGCAGCCCCUGCCCUGGAGGGUGUGCGUCCCGACGGGGAGGAUGGGAAGGCCGGAAGCCAGAAAUGUGCCCCUGAGAUGAUGGAAACGCCAGGCGGAGAUGCCCACGACUCGGGGGCCGAGCGGCCGGAGGAUGGGAGGAGCCCCCUGCUGCAACGCGAGUUCGAUUUCGUCGAAGACGCGGAGACCGUGGAGUCCAGGAGAGCCCUCCCGAGGAAGCCUGGCCGGAAACCGGGCAGCAGAGUCAUGCCGCAGGUUCAUGGCGCCAAGGUGCCUCCGGAGCCGGGCCCCGGGGCGAGCCCCACCCUGCGGCCCUGUGGCGGCCCCCUGGCGCGGCAGCACUCGCCCCCGCUCUCCGCCCAGGGCUCCUACUGCUUUGACCCGGACCACUUUGACGAGUCCGAAGAUCCCUUUAAACCCAGUAUGACUUUCACCAGCGGUGACUUUGGUUCUCCCGCCGGUAAUCAAGUUAAUGAAAUCUUAGAAUCACCCAAGAAGGCCAAGUCGCGUUUAAUAACGAGUGGCUGUAAGGUGAAGAAAUAUGAAGCCCAGUCUCUUGCUUUGGAUGGGUGUUCUCAGGAUGAAGAAGCAGUGAUCUCCCAGAUCGCAGACAUUUCUAAUAGGGACGGUCAUGCUACCGAUGAGGAGAAGCUGGCAUCCACGUCAUCGGGUCAGAAACCCACUGGGGCCGAGGGGAAAGGUGAGCCAGAGGACGACCUGGAGUACUUUGAAUGUUCCAAUGUUCCCGUGUCUGCCAUAAAUCAUGCGUUUUCAUCCUCUGAAGCAGGCACUGAGAAGGAACCGUGUCAGAAGAUGGAGAAGGAUGGAUCCACUGUGCCCGCACUGCUGGAAUCCCCGGUGGAGAAGACCCCCGUGUCUGUGGCCUGCGGGGUGGAGAGCCCCCUGGACGGCAUCUGCCUCAGCGAAUCAGAUAAGACCGCCGUGCUCACCCUGAUAAGGGAAGAGAUAAUCACUAAAGAGAUCGAAGCAAGUGAGUGGAAGAAGAAAUACGAAGAAACCCGACAAGAAGUCUUGGAGAUGAGGAAAAUUGUGGCUGAGUAUGAGAAGACCAUUGCCCAAAUGAUUGAAGAUGAACAGAGGACAAGCAUGAGCUCUCAGAAGAGCUUCCAGCAGCUGACCAUGGAGAAGGAGCAGGCCCUGGCUGACCUCAACUCGGUGGAAAGGUCCCUCUCCGACCUGUUCAGGAGAUAUGAGAACCUGAAGGGCGUCCUGGAAGGGUUCAAGAAGAAUGAAGAAGCCUUGAAAAAAUGUGCUCAGGAUUACUUAGCCAGAGUUAAACAAGAAGAGCAAAGGUAUCAGGCCCUGAAGAUCCACGCUGAGGAAAAACUAGACAAAGCCAAUGAGGAGAUUGCUCAGGUUCGAACAAAAGCCAAGGCUGAGAGCGCGGCUCUCCACGCGGGGCUCCGGAAGGAACAGAUGAAGGUGGAGUCCUUGGAGAGGGCCCUUCAGCAGAAGAACCAAGAAAUCGAAGAACUGACGAAAAUCUGCGAUGAGCUGAUUGCCAAGCUGGGAAAGACGGACUGAGUUUCCCCUGUAAGCUCAGCAGAUCUGCAUUCGGCUGCUUCUCUCGUGACCACAAUUAUCUUGCCUUAUCCAGGAAUAAUUGCCCCUUUGCAGAGAAAAAAAACACUUUAUGAAAGCACAUGCCUACUGCUGCCUGUCCCGCUUUGCUGCCGACACGCCCGCCCCGAGAAAACGCUGGAGGAUUCAUCACGCAGACAUGGAAAGAGUGGCCCGACCAUCCUGUCGAUGGGCUCUGGGCAGGAUUCUCUAUCUUUGUGUGUGAGGAGCCUCGUCCGGAGGAAUCUAACGCUGCAUUGACUACUGCUGUCAGGAU
rnacentral:lncRNA from 1 species